UACGUAGGGGGCUAGCGUUGUCUGGAAUCAUUGGGCGUAAAGCGCGUGUAGGCGGUUCGGUAAGUCCGCUGUCGAAAGUCGGGGGCUCAACCCUCGAAUGCCGGUGGAUACUGUCGGACUAGAGUACGGAAGAGGCGAGUGGAAUUCCUGGUGUAGCGGUGAAAUGCGCAGAUAUCGGGAGGAACACCAAUGGCGAAGGCAGCUCGCUGGGACGUGACUGACGCUGAGGCGCGACAGCGUGGGGAGCAAACAGG
rnacentral:rRNA from 1 species